CAUGUUUCAAAUGUUGACAUCGCUGUCAUCGUCCGUCCUGAAAAGGACGCAAGCUUCCGGCGACAAUCAGUGGGAGCCAUCACUUGUUGAAAUAGAUGAUGGUGGUUGCAGAAUUAGCUUGGGAUACUUCCAAUUUCUAGCCCCGCGACCUGGGCGCUUCUGCUAUGCGGCCACUGCCUAGGCUGAAAAUGUAGGAGA